rnacentral:rRNA from 1 species
GUCGAACGUGAAAGUCUUCUUCGGAAGGCGACUAGCGUGGCGAACGGGUGAGUAACGCGUGGGUGACCUACCCUAUGGAGGGGGAUAAGCCGGGGAAACCCGGUCCAAUACCGCAUAAGGCCCUUUGGGGGAACCUGAAGGGGGAAAGCUUGGCCGACUUUGGUUGGUCUGGCGCCGAAGGAGGGGCCCGCGUCCGAUUAGCUAGUUGGUGGGGUAAAGGCUCACCAAGGCGACGAUCGGUAACCGGUCUGAGAGGACGGACGGUCACACUGGGACUGAGACACGGCCCAGACUCCUACGGGAGGCAGCAGUGGGGAAUCUUGGGCAAUGGGCGAAAGCCUGACCCAGCGACGCCGCGUGGAGGACGAAGGCCCUCGGGUCGUAAACUCCUGUUCUUGGGGAAGAGAAUGACGGUACCCAAGGAGCAAGCCCCGGCUAACUCCGUGCCAGCAGCCGCGGUAAUACGGGGGGGGCAAGCGUUGUUCGGAAUUACUGGGCGUAAAGGGUGCGUAGGCGGCUUAGGAAGUCUGAGGUGAAAGUCCCCGGCUCAACCGGGGGAGGACCUCAGAAACCCGUAGGCUAGAGAGCUGGAGAGGGAAGCGGAAUUCCCGGUGGAGCGGUGAAAU